rnacentral:rRNA from 1 species
AGAGGGUGCAAGCGUUAAUCGGGAAUGACUGGGCGUAAAGGGCGCGUAGGUGGAUGGACAAGCGAGAUGUGAAAUAUCCGGGGCUUAACCUGGAAAGGUCAUUUUGAACUAUUCAUCUAGAGUGCAGGAGAGGGUAGCGGAAUUUCCGGUGCAGCGGUGAAAUGCGUAGAUAUCGGAAGGAACACUCGUGGCGAAGGCGACUGCCUGGCCUGCAACUGACACUGAGGCGCGAAAGCGUGGGGAGCGAACAGGAUUAGAUACCCUGGUAGUCCACGCCGUAAACGAUGAAAACUAGCCGAUGGUGACGGUAACGUUAUCAGUGGCGCAGCUAACGCGAUAAGUUUUCCGCCUGGGGAGUACGGUCGCAAGAUUA